UGCAAUGCUAUCACAGUUGAUACUGGUGUCUAGGGCAAUAUCACAACAUCAUGUUGGAUCUGAAGAUUUUUCCUAUAUGGGCAUGCUGUAUUGGGCUGUGUCUGCAUGCAGCUUUGGUGUGCUAAUAUUGUGUUCGAUGCUGCAAAACUUACCUGGUGAUACUAGUUCACGAUUAGGGGGAGUUCCGGCCUCUACAUGUUCCUUAUUCUGCACAAUAUUUUAUAUGUGUUCAUGCUACUUGUCUCUGACAGCAAAAUCAUAUGCUGCUUGGCAUGCAACAAUGAAUUU